GCUAGUGUGGCUUAGUGGUUUAAGUGUUGGACUACAACUCUGGAGAUCAGGGUUCAAUUCCCUUCUUGAACA